AAGAAUUAUGUACAUACAUUGUAUAUACAUAUGUCAUUGUUUUCCUUCAGUCGAGAGGGGGCGCACGUGUUAAUCUGCCACACAAAGGAUUUAGAGUGCCGCCCCCACAGCCACAGAGAAAGGCGAGCAGUGAAAAAAUAAAUAAAAUAAGCACACACAACAACAAAAGCGGCAGCAGCAGUAGCAGCAGCAGCAAAUCGACCUCCUCCUCCACCUCCUUCUCUGGGCUUUUCCUUACACUCUGCUGGGUUCUGCACGUUGCAAUUUGGUGCUGCUCUUCGGUUUGCCAAUGCCAUUGUUUGACUGGGGCUAAUACGAGUAUGACUGAGCCUCAGCUCUGCGGACGCUUCUGGAGUUGCAGUCGAAGAAAAAACAGAAGAAAAAUGGAGCACUAAAAGGAAAAUGAGACAGAGAGAGAGAGAGAGAGAGAAAGUAGUAAGAAUACAACUGAGAUUUCCAAAGACAGGACAAGACCGGACAGGGCACGCCACAUCCUGGCUCACGUCCCAUGGUCGAGGAUAACGCAAGAAAAUGUUCUUAAAUUAAAUAUUUGCUUGGUCCAAAUCAGCCCCAGAGCCACAGUGGCACAAGCUCCCGAUCCCGCACCCGCUCCAGGUCCCUAUCCGGCACCCGCGCCCUGCUAUCCGAGCCAUCAAAGACCCGGACGACGCGGCGCUUGCAUUGGUGGGUUAAGAGAAUAUGCAACUAAUCAUCAUGACAUCCACAAUGCUCGUCCAUAAAUAUUUCACAUGCUCUCAGGCCAUUUUCGUGCAAAUAUUCAACAAAUGCAUUGUCACUGGGAUCGCGCUAUGUGAUGUGUGUGUGUGUGUGUGUGUGCCUUUGUGGGUGUGUUUGUCCAAGUAAGUGGGGGAAUGUUGGGAAUUGAGAGGACUUUAAACGAGUUUCAUCUUGACUUGAGUCUUAGCCUGUUGUGAGGUUGGGCAAAAAAUGAUAUGAUUAUCUGAAAUAAGCUGUCAUAAGGCUAGAAUGCAAUUAAAAGACAUGCAAAAAGUGCACUGAUUAAAAGGUAUCACUUUCAGCUAAAAACUUCAAGAAAUUUUCC